GUUGACUUGUGAACCGACCGGUGAACCGCGAGCAACUUUCGAGUGGAACUAACCGCUGAUUCUUCAGUGACAAACUUAGCUUGGGCUACAAAAAAAGUGACUCUGUGACUUUUUAAAAAGUUGUCAGGACGUAAAUGAUAGGAAGACAUUUUAGACGAUAAGUGGCCAGACCUGUCAAACACCUGUAUACAGGUGGAGGUUAGCAAACCGGAGCGUCCAUUACAGCUCACAGCACGAUGAGCGGCAUCAAAGUGUCAGUUGGAGAAAGAGAGUCACCAAGAGCAGAAGAGGAUAAGAGAGGCUCCCCAUCUGGAUGGAAGACAGUCCUCUGUGUGCCUGAUUAAUGGUGUGGAGAGACAGUUGCCAGUUCUGAAGCCUUGCUGUCUGGCCCAGGUCAAAACUUCCAGAAGGCAACCUAAUGGUAAGGUGUGAAAGGAUCAUUCCAAGUCUCAAAGGAGAGGCUUCUUUCAAUAUCCUCAAAGGUCCCAUAACAGCCCACCAGUCUGUGUUCAGCUCACCUCCACCCCUCAUCCCACCCUUGCUAUCUCGUUUUCCUCAUCUGGCCCAGGCCCACUUCCACAUCUACAUCCCAUUGUCUGAGUGAAGGCAGCACGCGCAGGGCUGCGGCCAGUCCAAACAUACUCAUCUCUUUCUCUGGACGACUGCCAGCAUUCUUUGAAAAACGCUGCACAGUCCCAGUGCAGGGUGCACUACGUGAUACAGACCCACUCCG
ensembl:lncRNA